AAUAGAUACCCUGGUAGUCCACGCCGUAAACGAUGAGUGCUAAGUGUUAGAGGGUUUCCGCCCUUUAGUGCUGCAGCUAACGCAUUAAGCACUCCGCCUGGGGAGUACGGCCGCAAGGCUGAAACUCAAAGGAAUUGACGGGGGCCCGCACAAGCGGUGGAGCAUGUGGUUUAAUUCGAAGCAACGCGAAGAACCUUACCAGGUCUUGACAUCCUCUGCCAACCCUAGAGAUAGGGCGUUCCCCUUCGGGGGACAGAGUGACAGGUGGUGCAUGGUUGUCGUCAGCUCGUGUCGUGAGAUGUUGGGUUAAGUCCCGCAACGAGCGCAACCCUUGAUCUUAGUUGCCAGCAUUCAGUUGGGCACUCUAAGGUGACUGCCGGUGACAAACCGGAGGAAGGUGGGGAUGACGUCAAAUCAUCAUGCCCCUUAUGACCUGGGCUACACACGUGCUACAAUGGAUGGUACAAAGAGCAGCGAACCCGCGAGGGUAAGCCAAUCUCAUAAAGCCAUUCUCAGUUCGGAUUGUAGG
rnacentral:rRNA from 1 species